rnacentral:rRNA from 1 species
AGUGAACGCUGGCGGUAGGCCUAACACAUGCAAGUCGAACGGCAGCACAGUAAGAGCUUGCUCUUACGGGUGGCGAGUGGCGGACGGGUGAGGAAUACAUCGGAAUCUACUUUUUCGUGGGGGAUAACGUAGGGAAACUUACGCUAAUACCGCAUACGACCUACGGGUGAAAGCAGGGGAUCUUCGGACCUUGCGCGAUUGAAUGAGCCGAUGUCGGAUUAGCUAGUUGGCGGGGUAAAGGCCCACCAAGGCGACGAUCCGUAGCUGGUCUGAGAGGAUGAUAGGCCCCACUGGAACUGAGACACGGACCAGACCACGACGGGGGGCGGCAGGGGGGAAUUUUGGAGAAGGGGGGCAGGCUUGACCCAGCCAUCCCGGGGGGGUGAAGAAGCCCUUGGGGUUGUAACGCCUUUUUGUGGGAAAAAAAAACCAGCAGGUUAAUACCCCGCUGUCCUGACGGUACCAAAAAAAUAAGCCCCGGCUAACUUCGUG